rnacentral:lncRNA from 1 species
ACGUUCUUCCGUAGGUGGGGUUCACUUUUGAGUACAUCCCUCGUCUAACACUACGUUUCCGUAGGUGAGGUUCACUCUUGCUGAUGUGUUCCCCGUCUAACCUACGUUCUUCCGUAGGUGGGGUUUACUUUUGAGUACAUCCCUCGUCUAACACUACGUUUCCGUAGGUGAGGUUCACUCUUUGCUUUGGAUGGGAUACGCAUCCUGACUCUGUUACCAUUAAAACUUUCUCUAUCCGCGUUCUUCCGCAGGUAGAGUUAACUUGGCGUCCUACUUUGUUACUGCGUCCAGUAAUAGUAGGAGUUCAAAUAUCUUUAUAUGGCUCAGCUCAUUUUGCUGCCGUAUCCCCGUCCGUGUUGUGGACUUCCACGAUUCCUCAGGAGCAUUUCGUGUUACACCCUCCUGUCUUGGUGUGCCUCUGCAACUCCAACUUGUCUGGGUUCUUUUUUCUGCGCCCCU